AUAAAAUAACCUCCAUGAAAAAAAGAUUAAUAAUCUUUAUCAGAGAAAUACACUUCCAAGAAUUAAUAAAUUAAUUUUUAAUGAUCCGAUAUUCGAUCAACGAACCAAGUUACCCUGGGGAUAACAGCGCAAUCCACCUCAAGAGCUCCUAUCGACAGGUGGGUUUACGACCUCGAUGUUGGAUCAGGGUAUCCCAGUGGUGCAGCAGCUACUAAUGGUUCGUUUGUUCAACGAUUUAAACCCUACGUGAUCUGA
rnacentral:rRNA from 1 species